ensembl:lncRNA
AUAAUAUUAUUUUAAAGGACUGAUUUGACUCUUUUUAUAUACACUCUUAAAAGCCACUUUAUUAGGUUCAUUCUGGGUUUUACCAACUUUUUCAACGAGGUGCUGGAAACAUUCCUCUGAGAUUUUGGGCCAUAUUGACACGACAACAUCACAUAGUUACUGCAGGUUUGUCGGCUGUACAUCCAUGAUGUGAAUCUCCUGUUCCACCACAUGUCAGAGCUGCUCUAUUGGUUUGAGAUGUGGUGACUGUGGAGGUCAUUGAGUACAGUGAACUUCCUCGUUGAGUGUCAAACCAUGUUGAGCCCACGUGAUCUGUAACUUCAGUUUUCUAUUCUUUGCUGACACAAGUGACACUCGGUGUGGUCUUCUGCUGCUGCCGCCCAUCUACUCCAGAGUUGGAUGAGUUGUACAUUAGGAGAUGCUCUUCUGCAUACCCUAGUUGUAGUGGCUGCUUCAAGCAGUCUUGCGUUUUUCUUCUGACCUUUGACAUCAAGAAGGUAUUCUCAUCCAGAGAACUACAGCUCACUGCAUGUUUUUUCUUUUUUGGUCCAGGCUCUAUAAACCCCAGAGAUGGUUGUGUGGGAAAAUUUCAGAUCGGCAGUGUCUAAAAAUACUCUUGCCAGCCUGUCUGGCACCAGCAGCAUCACUAAUUUUAAGUACCUUUCUUCCUUAUUCUGAUGCUCGAUUUGAAGCUGCUCUCAGGAGGUCACCUUGAACAUGUCUGCAUGACUAAUAUGCAAUGAGUGGCUGCCAAGUGAUUGGCUGAUUAGAUAUUUGAACUAACAAGCAGUUGAAAAGCUAUACCUAAUAAAGUGACCAGUGAGUGUAACUGCUCACUUUCUUGCUGUGAAUUAGAAGUUGGGUUCAGUUCACCAGAGAGAUUAACUGGCUCUUAACUGCAAUCAAGAGUGAAAAGGGUAAACAUGACUAACAGGGCAAUGGGUGGAAGAAAUACAACUGAGGAGGCAUCUGAAAGUAACAACCUAGCUAAUGAUCUUUUAUUGUCAUUUAUCUUACAUUACUCAUUUGCUCUUUUUCUUUAACAACAGAUUUACAAAAAAAUUGAGACCAACUAAUACUUUUUCCAAACUGACAAACCAAAUAGAUGCUGAGGAAAUAAAUUAUUUUCAAGCAGAUUUCUAGCAACACCAAAGGGCAACACAGUAGUCUACGCGGGUAAAGGUCACUUCAUCACUGGUGCACACUGUUUGUUUGUUUUUUUUUAUGUUCAGUGAAAGGACCAAUCAGCAGGCACACACACACACAAAUUCACACACCAACACACAGAGCAGCCAGUUUCUUGUGCGUUUAUGCAAAAACAUCCAAAAAAAAAAAAUCAACUUCAUUACAUGCGUGUUCAUUUCCAUUGCAACAGGGGCAGGAAGGAGUGUGGGGGAUGGGGGGAGGAAAGAGCUGUCUAACUAUCUCCAUUUGGGAUGCUGAGUCCGUGGCUCCACAGCCUUCCCAACAAUACAUUCCCUUGCAUAGAUUCUUGUGUUGUGGAAUGAAGUGAGGACAUUUCCCGUGUCGACUCCUCAAAGCAGAAUGGCAGCAGGCGUCAGAUGUUGAAGACCCUCGAAGAUCCGCUUUGAAAGACAGCAGAAGGGUUUGGAGGGAGUUUGGUCCUCACCAGAUGUUCC